UCCCUGGUAGCUCAGAUGGUAAAGCAUCUGCCUACAAUGCAGGAGACCUGGGUUCAAUCCCUUGGUUGGGAA
rnacentral:tRNA from 1 species